rnacentral:lncRNA from 1 species
CCUCAGGUCACUUAGGGGAAGAGCAGUCUCAUCAUCUUUAACUUCUUAGCAGUACUUGACACUGUCAACUACUAACCAAUUAUCAAAUCACUCUCUUCCUUUGGCCCCUAUGAGACCAUGCACUCUAAGUUUCCUACCACCCCUGUGGCCUCAGACUCCUGUCCUGAUCCCUUCUUCUCAAGCCACUUCUGAAUGUUGGGGCUCCUCAGGGCUCUGUCCUGAGCUCAAUCUGUUCCUCGUGCUCUGUUUUGUCAUUCCAGGAUGAUCACAUUUACAUAGGCUGCUGAUUCAAAUAUAUAUCUCUAAUCUAGUCUCCUUGCAGAGCUCCAGGGUCUUGCUCUGUCAACCAGGUUGGAAUAUAGUGGCAUGAUCAUAAAUCACCGUAACCUCAAACUUCUGGACUCAAACAAUCCUCCUGCCUCAGCGUCUGGAGUAGAGGGGACUACAGGUGCAUGCCACCACACCCAG